GAACGCUAGCUACAGGCUUAACACAUGCAAGUCGAGGGGCAGCAUUGGGAUAGCUUGCUAUUCAGAUGGCGACCGGCGCACGGGUGAGUAACGCGUAUCCAACCUUCCUGCCAGUAGGGAACAGCCCGGCGAAAGUCGGAUUAAUGCCCUAUGUUCUUCAAUGCGGACAUCUAAGUUGAAGGAAAGAUUCAUCGCUGGCAGAUGGGGAUGCGUCCGAUUAGCUUGCCGGCGGGGUAACGGCCCACCGGGGCGACGAUCGGUAGGGGUUCUGAGAGGAAGGUCCCCCACACUGGUACUGAGACACGGACCAGACUCCUACGGGAGGCAGCAGUGAGGAAUAUUGGUCAAUGGGCGUAAGCCUGAACCAGCCAAGUAGCGUGCAAGGAUGACGGCCCUACGGGUUGUAAACUGCUUUUAUGCGGGGAUAAAGUGCGGCACGUGUGCCGCUUUGCAGGUACCGCAUGAAUAAGGACCGGCUAAUUCCGUGCCAGCCGCAGC
rnacentral:rRNA from 1 species